UACGAAGGGGGCUAGCGUUGCUCGGAAUUACUGGGCGUAAAGCGCACGUAGGCGGCUCUUUAAGUCGGGGGUGAAAUCCUGGAGCUCAACUCCAGAACUGCCUUCGAUACUGUAGAGCUUGAGUUCGGGAGAGGUGAGUGGGACUGCGAGUGUAGAGGUGAAAUUCGUAGAUAUUCGCAAGAACACCAGUGGCGAAGGCGGCUCACUGGCCCGAUACUGACGCUGAGGUGCGAAAGCGUGGGGAGCAAACAGG
rnacentral:rRNA from 1 species